UACGUAGGUGGCAAGCGUUGUCCGGAUUUACUGGGCGUAAAGAGCGCGCAGGCGGUUGUUUAAGUCGAAUGUGAAAGCCCCCGGCUCAACUGGGGAGGGUCACGCGAUACUGAUCGACUCGAAGGCAGGAGAGGGUAGUGGAAUUCCCGGUGUAGCGGUGAAAUGCGCAGAUAUCGGGAGGAACACCAGUGGCGAAGGCGGCACUCUGGGCCAGUACUGACGCUGAGGAGCGAAAGCGUGGGGAGCGAACAGG
rnacentral:rRNA from 1 species